rnacentral:RNase_P_RNA from 1 species
UCAGGCGGCAGGAUGGCCGCUCCGGCAGCGAUGCCGGGGAGGAAAGUCCGGGCUCCACGGAAACACGGUGCCGGGUAACGCCCGGCGGGGGCGACCCUAGGGAAAGUGCCACAGAGAGCAGUCCGCCCGCCGGGGCGCCUUUGGCGCCUGCGGGUGAGGGUGAAAGGGUGCGGUAAGAGCGCACCGCACCCCCGGCAACGGGGGUGGCACGGUAAACCCCACCGGGAGCAAGACCGCAUAGGGGCGACGGCACCUUCGGGUGCGGGUCCGUUUCCGGGCCGGUCGCCCGGGUAGGUCGCGCGAGGCGUUCGGCAACGGACGCCCCAGAUGAAUGGCCAUCGGCGGCCGCGGCCCAAGGGGCCUGGCCGUUACAGAACCCGGCUUACGGCCGCCUGACCUU